AUUGAACGCUGGCGGCAGGCCUAACACCUUCAAGUCGAACGAGUGGCGGACGGGUGAGUCAUGUAUGGGAAACUGCCUGAUGGAGGGGGAUACCUACUGGAAACGGUAGCUAAUACCGCAUACCAUCGGAUGUGCCCAGAUGGGCUUAGAUAGUUGGUGGGGUAAAGGCUACCCUAGGCGACGAUCUCUAGCUGGUCUGAGAGGAUGACCAGCCACCCUGGAACUGAGACACGGUACGGACUCCUACGGGAGGCAGCAGUGGUGAAUAUUGCACAAUGGGCGCAAGCCUGAUGCAGCCAUGCCGCGUGUAUGAAGAAGGCCUUCGGGUUUGAAAGUACUUUCAGCGGGGAGGCGUUACCCUCAGAAGAAGCACCGGCUAACUCCGUACCAGCAGCCGCGGUAAUUC
rnacentral:rRNA from 1 species